AGGGGAGGAAAGGUCUUGAGGGAGCAGCACGCUUGCCUGAUGGGUGCCCAAAGCCAGGGGCAGGUGGAGGUGAGAGAAGGACAAGCUCUGCAAACGUUGCGGAAGCGCUCUGUCCAUGGAGAAGGCACAGGACUUCCAUGUGGGGAGCAGCUUACUCCUGCUGAGAACUUUGGGGAGACAGAGUGGAGCAGCCAUCUCAGACCUGAGCGGCUAAGGAGCUGGGUCCCCCUCUGUCGCACUGUGCAGAGCUGCUGGACUUUGCAGUAAGCAGCCUUCAGGUCUAAAGGCUCCACAUUGUAAGGAAGCCCAGUCACAUGGACAGACCAUAUGGGUCCAGUUGGCUGCCCCAGCCAAGGUUUCAGCCAACAGCCAAGAUUACCCACAGCCACGUGUAUGAAUGAGCCUUCAAAUGAGUCCAGCACCCAGCAGAAUAAUGCCCCCUCCCGUCUCACAAAGAUUUCCAUGCCCUAAUUCCUGGAACCUGUGAAUCUGCUACAUCACAUGGCAAGCAGAGCUGGCAGAUGGAAUUUAGGGUGUGGAGCUUGAGGUGGGGAGGGCAGCCUGGAUUACACAGGUGGGCCCUAUCUAAGCACAUGAGCCCUUAUACAAGCAAAGAACAUUUCCUCAGCUGCCAGACAGCUGGCAAACAGAAUUGGAGGGGCAGAGAGAUGUAAUCAGAAAGGGCAGAAGAGACUUAAAAGGAAGAGAGGCUCGACCUGCUGUGGCUACCUUUGAAAAUGGAGGAAUGGGGCUCCAAGCCAAGGGAUGCAGGCUGCCUCUUCAUUGGAGUACUGCCAGCAAGAAAACAGCCCAGCAAUUGCAAGGAAAUUAAUUUUCCCAACAGUCUGAAUGAGCAAGAAAAUGGACUCUCCCCUGCCACGCCCUGAGUUCAGCCUUGUGAGACUCUAAGCAGAUACCCACUCAAGCCCACAGGACGUCCAACCCAUAACAAUUGUAAGAUAAUAAACUGGGAUAGUUUUA
rnacentral:lncRNA from 1 species